GACGGUAUACUCUGGCCCACAGAGCCUUUUUGGACUUCUAGCCUUCAAACUAGUUCUUCUUCUCAACCAAGAGUCUCAGAAGCUUCACCUUUCUUCCUUCCAGCUGUUCAGAUAUAUAUCUUGCGCUCUUCCAAAAAUCUGUUGGCGUAAGAGAUAGGAUAGUUACUAUCAGAGCGUCACUCUGGAGCCUGUCCACCUGGCCUUGAGCUUAGUCCUGUUUUACUGACAGUGUGACGUUGGUCAAGUUACUUGAUAUGAUGGCCAAUCCCAGUUGUCAACUUGAUGAGAUCUAGAGUCACUUUGAAGAAUGGCUUCUAGGCAUAGCUGUUGAGUAUUGUGUGACUUGAGGUGUGAAGACCUGCCCACUGUGUGUAGCACCACUCCCUGGAUGGGGAUACUGGAUUGAAGAAGUAGAAGGACCAAGUCAAGAAGGAACAUACAUUUGACAUUUUCUGCUUUCUGACUGUGAAUUGAAUGUGACCAGCUG
rnacentral:lncRNA from 1 species